rnacentral:rRNA from 1 species
UACGGGGGGGGUAAGCGUUGUUCGGAAUUACUGGGCGUAAAGGGCUCGUAGGCGGCCAACUAAGUCAGACGUGAAAUCCCUCAGCUUAACUGGGGAACUGCGUCUGAUACUGGAUGGCUUGGAUUCGGGGAGAGGAAUGCGGGAAUUCCAGGUGUAGCGGUGAGAUGCGUAGAUAUCUGGAGGAACACCGGUGGCGAAGGCGGCAUUCUGGACCGAUAUUGACGCUGAGGAGCGAAAGCCAGGGGAGCAAACGGG